GGUUCUGGGAAAUAAGAAAUCAUUAGAAAAAGAUUUCUGCCUUCUAGAAGUACACAGUCUAAUGGUGAGAUAGGCAGUUAUUAAUGGCUCUCCUACUAGGAGCCUGACAUCAUGGUGAGCAUCGAGAAAGGAAUAACCUAAGCUGAAGACACGCCUUUUCAGGAGGCCAAGUUCCACGUUCUGUGCAUGCUUUUGGCGAAAGUCAGGCUGUGGCUUGCCUUUUCACUUCUUGUGUCCUGUUUAAGAAAUAUCUGCUAUCCCAAGCAUCUGGCAUCUUUCUUGACAUAUGUAGCAGUUGCUUUUUGACAGCUUGCUUCUUCAGUGAAUGAAUAAAUUAAUAAAGAGAAAUGUGAUGUUCAGUGAUCCAUUUUGCAGAUAACACUAACAAAGUUGACCUUAGAAUUGGAGUGCCUGGGUUAGAACCCUGCUGGUACCACCUGCUUACUGCAUGCUUCUGAUGUGAGUUCAGGAGAAGACACUGGCAAGGACAGCAAAGAACAGGAGAACACUCUAGCUUCCCUGAUAGCAUUCAAGGUGCUGUCCAAAGCUCUUGAGUUUCUGCUUUCAAGUGACCCUCAGAAAUUCCUCCAUUCACUGCAGAGGUUCUGUUUCUCCUUGCUUUGUUCUGACUUUACGGCAGAACUAAGCUAAUGAGUUAGUUACUAUGGGUUAUCACUUGGAUUUGAAGAACCAUCAUUUCUAGGCAUUGCUGCUCAGAGUGACCUUGCCAUCGUAUCCCCUUUUGGAGACACAAGCCAGGAAGGAAGCUCUUCAGUGCAGCUGUGAAUAGAGAAAUGCUGGCUGAGGUUUUGGAGACACUGGGUGAUCAUUCCCAGUGAAAUUUUUAGAUCCCUGGGGACAUGAGCUGCUUUGUCUUUUCCAAGGCUGAAAAAGUUUUGGAAGCCCUCCUAAGCAGGUGCCAGACCCUUUUUUGGCCAGAGACAGGAUCUUACGCUGUUGCCCAGGCUGGAGUGCAAUAGUGUCAUCAUGGCUCACUGUAGCCUGGAACUGCUGGGCUCAAGGGAUCCUCCCAGCUCAGCCUCCCAAGUAGCUAGGAGUAAAGUUGGAGGAACUGGUUAUUUUCCCAGGGCUUUGACUGAAAUGGCCUUGUGAAUGGUUCCAGGAAAGCCAAUUUUGGAGACCCUAUGUGGAUGAUGAUGCUUGCUGUACUUUCUGUGGGUAAUCGGGCCAAGUAUAUGGGACUGAAGCUAAUUUUGCAGGUGAGAAAAUGGAGGUCCAGAGAGAAAAGUGACUCACCCAAGCUGAAAACAGUUGCAGGAAGAAAAGCCAGGACAGAACUGGGCUGUUAGAAACCUUGGAGUACACUAAAGAUGAGGAACUGAGUCACCGCAAUGCCAAAUGUAACACGCUGUGGGUCAAAAUUUGGAUGGUUGCGUUGGAAAUUAUUCUGAAGCCACAGACAGGGCUAAAAGAGUCUAGAAUGUCCUACUAGCUGUUGGAACCUGCUGGAGUUCUAAAGGCAUGCGAUGUCCUGAAUGUGCUUGACCAAUGGACACAGCAGGUAUUUGAAGAGUUUUGAUGCUUCCUUUCUGUUUUCAGUGCUAUUUUUUUGCUUUAUUUCUUUUAAAAAACUUUCCCCACAGAGGCUAUUUAUUACACAGCAGCAGCCAGCAUGCACCAAGCAGAACUGCUUUUCAUAAUAAACCUAUUUAUCUUCUGGCAUGUCAGAAAUUUCUCAAAUUGAUACUUAUAAUAAAUAUGAUUAAUAACACAUUGUA
rnacentral:lncRNA from 1 species